UACGGGGGGUGCGAGCGUUGUCCGGAAUCACUGGGCGUAAAGGGUGCGUAGGCGGGUCUUUAAGUCAGGGGUGAAAUCCUGGAGCUCAACUCCAGAACUGCCUUUGAUACUGAAGAUCUUGAGUUCGGGAGAGGUGAGUGGAACUGCGAGUGUAGAGGUGAAAUUCGUAGAUAUUCGCAAGAACACCAGUGGCGAAGGCGGCUCACUGGCCCGGUACUGACGCUGAGGUGCGAAAGCGUGGGGAGCAAACAGG
rnacentral:rRNA from 1 species